AGACGAGGGAUCCUAGCGUUGCUCGGGAAUCAUUGGGCGUAAAGCGGGUGUAGGUGGCUUUAUAAGUCAGGUGUGAAAGCCCAGGGCUCAACCCUGGAAGUGCAUUUGAUACUGUUUAGCUUGAGUGUGGGAGAGGUUACUGGAAUACCUGGUGUAGUGGUGAAAUACGUAGAUAUCAGGUGGAACACCGGAGGCGAAGGCGGGUAACUGGCCCAACACUGACACUCAGACCCGAAAGCGUGGGGAUC
rnacentral:rRNA from 1 species